AUCCUACUCCCUCCGUUCCACAAUACAUGCCUUCUAUUUGUCAAAAUAUAGAUGUAUCUAGACAUGUUUUAGUAUAUAGGUACAUCCAUUUUUGGACAAAUGAAAGUCAAGUAUUUUGGAACGGAGGGAGUAAAAU
rnacentral:pre_miRNA from 1 species